UACAGAGGGUGCGAGCGUUAAUCGGAAUACUGGGCGUAAAGCGCACGUAGGUGGCGACGUAAGUCGGGUGUGAAAGCCCCGGGCUCAACCUGGGAACUGCAUUUGUGACUGGCGGGCUAGAGUAUGGCAGAGGGGGGGUAGAAUUCCACGUGUAGCAGUGAAAUUCGUAGAUAUUAGGAAGAACACCGGUGGCGAAGGCGGCCCACUGGAUCGGUACUGACGCUGAGGUGCGAAAGCGUGGGGAGCAAACAGG
rnacentral:rRNA from 1 species